AAUCUCACAAUGCAAAUGCGGUAUUCAAUGGAUUCAAUUUCUCAAAAUUGACAGUAGAAUGACACUGUUUAUAUAGUUUGGGUCCAAUAUCCUACGUACUAGACAGUUGUACCACGCGUGUACUCAACCUUACUGAUAGCACAUUGCUCCAAUGUAAUUCAAUUGAGGAGAUAUAUUGGUCAAGUUGAUUUUCAGUGGGGGCAAAGUGAUCAUUUUAGAUUUUAAAGGGACAAAGUGCGAUAAGUCCCUUUCCUUUUCUUUGUUUCAAUGUUUGUGAAAAGCGUUGUAGAAAAGGACAUCAAAGUGGUGCGAUACCAGUGAUAUACAACUUAUUUCCGAUUUGAGGUAAAAAAAA
rnacentral:lncRNA from 1 species